rnacentral:lncRNA from 10 species
GACAGAGGGGCUGACCAGGUCUUCUACAGUCCCUGGCAAGGAAAGAGCUGGCAGUUUAAUAAUAAAGUGACUGAAGGACAUUUGGGAUGUGUGUCCUCUGAUGAUGACUGCUGGACAAACACAACAGGAGCAGUUGCAGACAAAGUAGCUGAGGGAGAAGACAGGAGAUGAGGACACGCUCACUACUGCAGAGACUUGGUGAGCACUAAGAGGGGAGGUAGAGGUGGUCACAAUCCCGCCCCUCAUGCCACAGUGUGCUGGUGCUUUUUUUGUUUUGUUUUGUUUUUUUGAGACAGGGUCUCGCUCUUCAUCCAGGAUGGAGUGCAAUGGAGCAAGCUUGGCUCACUGCAGCCCUCGCCUUCCAGGUUCAAGUGAUUCUCAUGAUUCAGCCUCCCGAGUAGCUGGGAUUACAAGCACAUGCCACCAUGCCUGGCUAAUUUUUAUAUUUUUGUAGAGAUGAGGUUUUGUGAUGUUAGCCAGGCUGGUCUUGAAUUCCUGACCUCAGGUGAUCCCCCUGCCUUGGUCUCUCAAAGUACUGGAUGACACUCGUGAGCCACCGCGCCCGGCUCCUCAUCCCACAAGGUGCUUCUAAUCAUUGUUCCACUGAGGCGCAGGGAGGAAAAUAAUGUAUGAUCAAGAACACCUGAAUUUGUGUGCUAGUGGCAGAAAAGUAAUGAGAGAUUUAUUUUAGAGGAAAACAUCCACAGA